AGGACGGACACGGGGUGCGCUGACGCGCUGAGAUCACACCCGUGGAACCUGCUCUAGUUCGAACUAGCGAAGGGAUGUCUCGUGACGUCUAC
rnacentral:ncRNA from 2 species